rnacentral:rRNA from 1 species
UGCUGGAGGUAUCAGAAGUGCGAAUGCUGACAUGAGUAACGAUAAAGCGGGUGAAAAACCCGCUCGCCGGAAGACCAAGGGUUCCUGUCCAACGUUAAUCGGGGCAGGGUAAGUCGACCCCUAAGGCGAGGCUGAAAAGCGUAGUCGAUGGGAAACGGGUUAAUAUUCCCGUACUUCUUAUAAUUGCGAUGGGGGGACGGAGAAGGCUAGGUGGGCUUGGCGACGGUCGUCCAAGUUCAAGUGCGUAGGCUAAGAGUUUAGGUAAAUCCGGACUCUUGUUAGGCUGAGACACGAUGUCGAGCUACUACGGUAGUGAAGCCAUUGAUGCCAUGCUUCCAGGAAAAGCCUCUAAGCUUCAGAUUAUAAGAAAUCGUACCCCAAACCGACACAGGUGGUCGAGUAGAGAAUACUAAGGCGCUUGAGAGAACUCGGGUGAAGGAACUAGGCAAAAUGGUACCGUAACUUCGGGAGAAGGUACGCUCCUAGCGGUGAUGAGACUUGCUCUCUAAGCUGCCGGGAGUCGCAGAUACCAGGUGGCUGCAACUGUUUAUUAAAAACAUAGCACUGUGCUAAAUCGUAAGAUGACGUAUACGGUGUGACGCCUGCCCGGUGCUUGAAGGUUAAUUGAUGGGGUUAGACUUCGGUCGAAGCUCUUGAUCGAAGCCCAAGUAAACGGCGGCCGUAACGAUAACGGUCCUAAGGUAGCGAAAUUCCUUGUCGGGUAAGUUCCGACCUGCACGAAUGGCGUAACGAUGGCGGCGCUGUCUCCACCCGAGACUCAGUGAAAUUGAAAUCGCUGUGAAGAUGCAGUGUAUCCGCGGCUAGACGGAAAGACCCCGUGAACCUUUACUAUAGCUUUGCACUGGACUUUGAGUUUGCUUGUGUAGGAUAGGUGGGAGGCUUUGAAGCGUGGACGCCAGUUCGCGUGGAGCCAACCUUGAAAUACCACCCUGGCAACCUUGAGGUUCUAACUCUGGUCCGUUAUCCGGAUCGAGGACAGUGUAUGGUGGGUAGUUUGACUGGGGCGGUCUCCUCCUAAAGAGUAACGGAGGAGUACGAAGGUGCGCUCAGACCGGUCGGAAAUCGGUCGUAGAGUAUAAAGGCAAAAGCGCGCUUGACUGCGAGACAGACACGUCGAGCAGGUACGAAAGUAGGUCUUAGUGAUCCGGUGGUUCUGUAUGGAAGGGCCAUCGCUCAACGGAUAAAAGGUACUCCGGGGAUAACAGGCUGAUACCGCCCAAGAGUUCAUAUCGACGGCGGUGUUUGGCACCUCGAUGUCGGCUCAUCACAUCCUGGGGCUGAAGCCGGUCCCAAGGGUAUGGCUGUUCGCCAUUUAAAGUGGUACGCGAGCUGGGUUUAGAACGUCGUGAGACAGUUCGGUCCCUAUCUGCCGUGGACGUUUGAGAUUUGAGAGGGGCUGCUCCUAGUACGAGAGGACCGGAGUGGACGAACCUCUGGUGUUCCGGUUGUCACGCCAGUGGCAUUGCCGGGUAGCUAUGUUCGGAAAAGAUAACCGCUGAAAGCAUCUAAGCGGGAAACUUGCCUCGAGAUGAGAUCUCACUGGAACCUUGAGUUCCCUAAAGGGCCGUCGAAGACUACGACGUUGAUAGGUUGGGUGUGUAAGCGCUGUGAGGCGUUGAGCUAACCAAUACUAAUUGCCCGUGAGGCUUGACCAU